GGAGAGAUGGCUGAGUGGUUGAAGGUGCUCGCCUGGAAAGCGAGUGUAUGUUUUACGACGUACCGAGGGUUCGAACCCCUCUCUCUCCGCCA
rnacentral:tRNA from 1 species